GGCAAAUAAGCUCAGGUUGGAGGGCAAAGUAGCUAUAAUUACCGGUGCUGCUAGUGGCAUUGGAGAAGCAAGUGCUAGAUUGUUCGUUGAACAUGGUGCUCGUGUCGUCGUCGCCGAUAUUCAAGAUGAACUUGGUCAAAAAGUAGUUGAUUCUAUCGGAUCUGACAAAGCCAGCUACCGGCACUGCGACGUUACAGACGAGAAGCAAGUUGAGGAAACCGUAGCUUACGCGGUAGAGAAAUACGGUACUCUUGACAUUAUGUUUAGUAAUGUCGGGACGCUGAAUUUCUGCAGCGUCCUCGACAUGGACGUGCUGGCCUUCGAUGAGACCAUGGCCAUCAACGUACGCGGAUCCGCGUUAGCGGUUAAGCACGCGGCUAAAGUUAUGGUUGAUAAGAAAAUUCGGGGAUCUAUUAUAUGUAACGCGAG
rnacentral:misc_RNA from 1 species